rnacentral:tRNA from 1 species
GCCUUGGUAGCUCAGCCUGGCUAGAGCGUUGCCUUGGUAAGGCAAAGGUCGUGGGUCCAAAUCCCACCCAAGGCU